UACGAAGGGGCUAGCGUUGUUCGGAAUUACUGGGCGUAAAGCGCGUGUAGGCGGCUUUGCAAGUCGGAUGUGAAAGCCCUCGGCUCAACCGAGGAAGUGCGUUCGAAACUGCAGAGCUUGAGUACCGGAGAGGGAUGCGGAAUUCCAGGUGUAGCGGUGAAAUGCGUAGAUAUCUGGAGAACACCGGUGGCGAAGGCGGCAUCCUGGACCGGUAUUGACGCUGAGGCGCGAAAGCCAGGGGAGCAAAGCGGGGA
rnacentral:rRNA from 1 species